UACGGUUUAUUCGGCUCGAUGAGAUGUGUUUUGCCUCUAACACUUAUACGCCUGAAGCAAAGAAACAAAGUUGGACUCUCAUCUUCAUGUGACGGCGACGAUCUGGCGUUUGUGCUUCCUCUCAAUAUCUGCAACAGGCCGAGUUAUGACUUAGUGUUAAUCCCAUUGAUUCACUCUUCCAUGAUGUCGUCUUUAAUGCUUUGUUUCGAUCUGAAAGGCGGUGUUGGAUCCUUAUAAAUAUAUUCAGGUAACACCAAUUCUGGCUCCACAAUACUACAAAAUUUGUUGCUUUUCUAGAGUAACGGUGUUUGAUUCCCUUGGAUUGCAUGCUAAACUUUCUCUAGAGGCUCUUGAAGUUCCUGUGGGAUGUGUCAUUCUUGAGGAGG